rnacentral:rRNA from 1 species
AUGGAGAAAAAUAAAAGCAGGGUGGCUAUCACUACAGAUAUGUGGACGUCUGAACAUCAGAAAAGAGGCUACAUGGCUAUCAUAGCACAUUUCGUUGAUGAAUCCUGGAAGCUUCAGAGCUAUAUUAUGAGAUUUAUUUAUGUUCCAGCACCACAUACAACUCCUGUAAUUGCCGAGAUACUUCAUGAUGCACUGGUCGAAUGGUAUCUGGAAGAUAAGGUAUCUACAUUGACUGUUGAUAAUGCCACAACAAAUGAUGCUUGCAUUCCCAUAUUAGAGAAUCUGAUAGGUCCAAGUAAGCUUAUGUUAGGUGGCAAGCUUUUACAUAUGCGUUGUUGUGCGCAUAUUCUUAACCUGAUAGUCAAGGAUGGUUUGGAUGUGUUAGAAGAAUCGAUUGAGAAAAUCCGUGAGAGUGUUGCAUUCUGGACUAGCACACCUAAGAGAAUAGAGAAUUUUCAAGAGGUUGCCAAGAUGCUGAAAGUAGACCAAAGUAAAAAAAUUAUCCCUUGA